rnacentral:rRNA from 1 species
CCUACGGGAGGCAGCAGUGGGGAAUAUUGCACAAUGGGCGAAAGCCUGAUGCAGCGACGCCGCGUGAGGGAUGAAGGCCUUCGGGUUGUAAACCUCUUUCGCCAGGGAAGAAGCUUUUGUGACGGUACCUGGAGAAGAAGCACCGGCUAACUACGUGCCAGCAGCCGCGGUAAUACGUAGGGUGCGAGCGUUGUCCGGAAUUAUUGGGCGUAAAGAGCUUGUAGGCGGUUUGUCGCGUCUGCCGUGAAAACUCACAGCUUAACUGUGGGCGUGCGGUGGGUACGGGCAGGCUAGAGUAUGGUAGGGGAGACUGGAAUUCCUGGUGUAGCGGUGAAAUGCGCAGAUAUCAGGAGGAACACCGAUGGCGAAGGCAGGUCUCUGGGCCACUACUGACGCUGAGAAGCGAAAGCAUGGGGAGCGAACAGGAUUAGAUACCCUGGUAGUCCAUGCCGUAAACGUUGGGCGCUAGGUGUGGGGCUCAUUCCACGAGUUCCGUGCCGCAGCUAACGCAUUAAGCGCCCCGCCUGGGGAGUACGGCCGCAAGGCUAAAACUCAAAGGAAUUGACGG